GUUCUAGUAACUGAGCACUUAUGCUUCUCCUUAAUUUCCUCCUUGGAGAUUAAUAAAAUAUUAAGACCACAUCCUGCUUUCCUGUACAAACUACUCUUGGGACAUGAAUUCCCCUUCAUCCUCUAUAGUAAAAGGUGAUGCAGAAACGAAAUUUCAGCUACUGAUUGACUUAAGCUAAAACAAUCAGCCCAGCCAUCUAUGACACAAAAAGCAUGCAAAGCAGGGGUUGCUCUGUUCACAGACAUUGCUACACUUAAAAAAAAGGUAGAUAAAAUAUAUAGACAAUAUUCUUCUUGAAAACACUCUAGUCACCAGCCCAGAUCUGGCAACUGAGCAAGGAGCCUGUACAUUAUGCCUGAACAAUAUUAUACAGAGCCACCAACAUUAAAUCAAAGUGUUAAUGCAUCUGUAUGUGUAAAACAAAUGCAGUAAUCCCAUUGAGUACAUGCAUUAAUAUCUGAGAGAUGGGAUUUCAUUACUCCCUGUAAUUAAACUAGAAAAAGGCCAUUGGUCUGCUGCAUCCCACUUACUCAAAACUAAAGGCAUAGAAGUUGAUCACUAAUCCAGUAUCUGCUUGCUAUUGCCGCUCAACUGUGCCUUCUGUUUGCAAAGCAGAUUUGGAUACUAGGCACCCCAAACACUGAACAGACAAGCCACUAAAAGGUGCUUUAAGAGAGAGUGGAGAACUGGACCAUUAAGUACCCAUCUGAAAAAUUGAGUAAAAGGCAAUAUUUGGUCAGAGGCUUCUCUGAUCACUGCAGCAUGGGGUUGUCUUUGAUUUCUAUGCAAUUCUUCAAAAUUACAGAGUUUGGAUGUGGCAGCGCUAGUUCCAAAUGACACCACAUACAUUUUUUUUUUAGUGUCUAAUUCAGGGGCAGGUGACCUGAAGAUCUCUGGCCUCUUGCUCUCCAGGCAACCAUGUGGAGAAAACUUCCUCUUCCAUAUUGUGUGUGACAGAGUGAAGGAGAGAGAAGACAUGGUUGCUACACGAUGAAACCAUUAAAAAAAGGGGGUGGCUCACCCACUUUUGGAUGCUCCUCCAUCCACAGCAAGCAUGCAACUGCCAACAGAUUUCCCCUGAAAGAAUGCAGCCCUUGAUUGGGGUGGGUGGGAGAGAACGGUUCUUGAUCCACAUUCCUGGUCUAAAACAUCAUUCUGAAUGCUGAAGAUCUGAGAGCAGAAAAAUCACAGGAAGUUAAUUCCACGUAUUACAUGCACAGCGAAUUGUGGGAUUUUUUUGAGGGGUUGAUUACAGUUUCAAUGAGUUUUAUGGGAUUUGUUCCUAUGCAUAAGAUUGGGGCGUUACUUCUGAGUGCAUAGGAUUAGACGGUAAAUCCCAUUGAGUUCAAUGGUGUUCAUUCUCUUUAUCCUGCCUUUUGACAAAGGAGCUGUGUGUUUGUGUUAAAAAACCAAGGCAGAAGGAGUGGGGAUACUUUUUGAGUUCAAACAGUAAAAAUCAUUCAAUGUAUUCUUUGUACAUGUGGCGUUUUGCAUCAGUACUCAAAACAGAAUAAACCACUGAAUCAAAGACCAAGCUAGCACGCUGUUAACUGCUGUGCUUGCCUGCAUCUAUUGGGGAUCAAACAGUAAUAGAGUAUCAAGGACCACUAUAAAAUAGUCACAGGUAUUGCACGCCAGUUUCGGGAGUACCAGUGCAUGAGCAGUUAACACCUUAGUGACUAAAAAGGCCAUUGACAGUAGAUUCUAGUGGGAACCUGAAAGCAUAUAACAUCAAACCUCAGUUUGUUCCAUUAACUGGAUCUUUUAUUUCAGGGUAGAGAGGUUACCUUUUUAAAAAAUAUGGAAGGACUCCUCAGUAGCUAUGUGAUUUUAACAGUUGCAUUGGUGGGAAAGCUUCCUCUAUGGCAGGCUUCCUCAACCUUGGGCCUCCAGAUGUUUUGAGACUACAAUUCCCAUCAUCCCUGACCACUGGUCCUGCUAGCUAGGGAUCAUGGGAGUUGUAGGCCAAAAACAUCUGGAGGCCCAAGGUUGAGGAAGCCUGCUCUAUGGAACCUCUGCCUGUCACGGAUGUUAAAGGCAGAGGUUCCAUAAUUGGAGAGAUUAUUUGUUUCAUUUCAUUUAUGAAUCAUUUCCCCUGAAACAAUAAAAAAGAGAAAAGCAUCAACAAUAAAAACAACAAUAUGUAACAACAAUUUCAAAUUGAUAUUAGUCUAAUCAUGUAUAGUAGCAGUGGGUUUUUCUGGGGGGUACUCAAGGGUACGCAGUACCGCCCCCAGAAGAAAAUCACUGUAUGGUAGUAUUAUACUGAAGUGUAGCUGAAAAUGCAUACACUCCUGGUUAAAGUUUUCAUGUCAGCAUAGGAUGUUUUAGAAAGGCAUGGGGAAUAAUUGGCUCUCCAGGUGUUACUGGGCUCCAAAUCCCAUCAGUUCUAGCCAGCAUUGCCAGUGACCAGGGAUGAAUAGGGAUGUUGUGGGCUGCAAUCCAAAAUAUAGGGAGGACUUCAAUUUCCCCAUCUAAGAUGCAUCUGUUACUUGCCCAGAAGCUAUCCACAAUUUGUAGUAUUUGCAUAUUUGUAUUGCCAGGGCCAAACUGCGGGAGGCAGUGGAAGACAGGAGUGCCUGGCGUGCUCUGGUCCAUGGGGUCACGAAGAGUCGGACAUGACUAAACAACUAAACAACAACAAAUUGUCAGGGCUGGGCCAUGGGCAACAGUGUUGCAUGAGCCAACGGUCAUGGGACAGGCUAGUAGUCAAGACCUAAGAGUAAAAGCAGAGGAAUGCAGGGAGUCGGGGCUAAGAAAUAAGCCAAGAUUGAUGAGCAGGUUCCCGCCAAUUGAAUCAUACGCAUAACCCCCUGUUGCACAAGCAAGGCUCAACAGGAAGCCCUCUUACAACUCUUUUCUGGUCAGGAAGAUACAAUGGCCACGUUGUGUGAGCAGAGUUGGUCUAGGCUAGGGUCUGAAGAUCCUUUCCUGAGAAGCUGCCACCUACAGCUCCAUGACUCACCACAAGGGGGAACUCAACAAAUUUCAGCGGCCUCUCAUACUCCAUUCUACAGCAUUGUUGUGGGGCUCCCCUGUGGCUGAACAUGGUACCCUAAAACCAUAUCUGGCGUAGUCAGUAAACAAGUCAUCUGGAAGCACCUUUAGCCUAGACAAUAAGAAGCUGGGUAGAACAGCAACACAGAAUUAACAUGAAUCAUGUAUUAAUUAAUUAGUAUUAUUGUUAUUUAUAUACCGCCCUAUACCCAGGGGUCUCAGGGUAGCUCACAGAAUAAAAUCAAGAUAUAAAACCACAAUCAAAUGUAGUGUAAAACUCUGAAGCUCAGUGUAUUAUACAGCAGGCAGGUGGAAAAUUGUCCAUCUCAUAAUUGCUAUACACCCAGACUAACUUAAGAAUCAUCCCACCAUCCCAGGGCACCAUUUCUGGUUGGAGAGACUAAAUGAAUCCCCAGCACCUUCAACUAAGCAGUGCUUUUGCACUGAAGUUAUUGCCACUGUCCGCCUACACUAAACUGCAAACCUAUUGGGCAGGGCUGUCCUUGUAGGUAUUGUGAACUGGGCUUAGUUUCUUAGGCACUUCGCAAAUGAAAUAUAUUGGGCGAGAUUCAGUUGUGGCAGCUUGCUUGCUCAAUGGAAGGUUUACUUGUGGAAUGGGACUUUCAGAUUCCCUUCUCUCUUCCACCUUUGCACAGCCUGAAAAUCUGCCCUGGAGGGUCCCUCAACCACUGGGGCAUAUUGGGGGUGAUGUAUGGUGGUGGCGGCAGGGCUGCUACAGGGAGAAGAAACAUAAGACAGCUGCUAUGCUUAUAACCACAACACAAAAUUAUUAGUACUUUUAAAAGACUAGAAUCAGAGUGAGCCAUGUGACUGGUGGGGUGUAUGACAGUCAACAGAUUUGGACAGCUGACUGAAUGGUCAUACUAUAUUUUUGCUCUCAUUUAAUAAAGCUAUUGUUGUUGCUGAAUUGUCAUGCUACAUUUUUGCUCUUACGAAGUUACUUUGUGUUAUGAAUGGUUUAUGCUACACCCCUGCAUUGAAGUCACAACUUAACUAUUGUUAAGAUAACAAUAAAUUUCUUUUAUGGAUGCCAGAACAAUUAGAUUGGCAUAAACACAAGCAUAAAUUUGUCGUGUAGAGAUAAGCGCAUAGGAAAGCAGCUCCCAUCCAGAACAGAUCAGUAACUGUGCCUUAGAAUCGGGUGAGGAUUCCAGAGAGUCACACAUGCCCUGGAUCAGAGUAGCCAUUAUAGCUGAAGAUACAUGAACUACCCCUUAUUUGUAGUGUGACUGGGCAUGUGGAUAAACUGAUUAUUUCUCUGCCUCACCCCCAUUAUUUCAGAUCUCCUUUUUAAAGCCAUUUGCAGUGAUGUGAAGAAGCCAUUUAUCAACUUGAUUAGCCCUGCACAUGAAUGACUCUCCAGGUGGCAAUAUUCAUCCCAGGGACUGCUUUAUGUGGUUCCUCUGUGCACACAAACAGCGGCACUGUAGACCUCUUUAUAGCUUUUAAGCAGAGAACAAGCAUUAUUGCUUAACCAAUGAGAAUUGAUAAGGUAAGAGGAAACCUGCUUAUGAAAUUCACCUCACUGGAAGAACUCUUUAUUUUUUUUCUGCUGAAACAGAUAAUCUUUAUUUCUUAGUAUUUAAAAGACUUAUCAUUCUUAUCUCCUUUUGCAACUACUGGAAUUGCAAUUUAGGAAACUCACCCUAUUUUUAAUAAAUAUGUUUUGUUUUGUUGUUGCUGGCAUCUGUCGGUCUUCAGAGACAAUGGAGUGCACCUCUGGAGGUGAAGUCAAACAGCUGUGUUUGCAGCAGUGAAGUGACAGCCCCAGAUCACAAGCCUGGGCAGUGUGUAUGGAGGUCCUGGGCCGGCUAGACAAUAAGACUCAGCCUCACUGAUGUGGCCCAAAGGAAAGCAGAUCUUUUAAGGAUGAGAAAAAUAUUGUGGCAUAUUAUCCUUGAAAUUCACAUUCAAAUGACUGACAAAAUCCAAUGGUCUCUGAAUUGGUUUGGUGAUCUUUCCUCUUUUAUUUUUUUGAGCCAAUAUGACUUCGAUAUAUGAGAAGAUAUUAGAAGAGAUUAGAACAGUCUCUUGAUAACAAGGCCAG